rnacentral:rRNA from 1 species
ACACCAGCACCUCAAGUGGUCAGGAUGAUUAUUGGGCCUAAAGCAUCCGUAGCCUGCUUUGUCAGUUUUCGGUUAAAUCCAUACGCUCAACGUAUGGGCUGCCGGAAAUACUGCAUAGCUAGGGAGUGGGAGAGGUAGACGGUACUCGGGAGGAAGUGGUAAAAUGCUUUGAUCUCUCGAUGACCACCUGUGGCGAAGGCGGUCUACCAGAACACGUCCGACGGUGAGGUGCGAAAGCGUGGGGAGCAAACAGGAGUAGAAACCCCAGUAGUCC